rnacentral:rRNA from 1 species
CUCCAGACUCCUACGGGAGGCAGCAGUGGGGAAUAUUGCACAAUGGGGGAAACCCUGAUGCAGCGACGCCGCGUGAGCGAAGAAGUACCUCGGUAUGUAAAGCUCUAUCAGCAGGGAAGAAGAUGACGGUACCUGACCAAGAAGCUCCGGCUAAAUACGUGCCAGCAGCCGCGGUAAUAUGUAUGGAGCAAGCGUUAUCCGGAUUUACUGGGUGUAAAGGGAGCGCAGGCGGCCUUGCAAGUCUGAUGUGAAAGCCCGGGGCUCAACCCCGGGACUGCAUUGGGAACUGGCGUGCUGGAGUGCCGGAGGGGCAGGCGGAAUUCCUGGUGUAGCGGUGAAAUGCGUAGAUAUCAGGAGGAACACCGAUGGCGAAGGCGGCCUGCUGGACGGAUACUGACGCUGAGGCCCGAAAGCGUGGGGAGCGAACAGGAUUAGAUACCCCAGUAGCG